ensembl:rRNA 5S_rRNA 5S ribosomal RNA
GCCAGCAGCUAGCUCUCUGCAACUCCCACAUGGUCUCCUGCUAAAGCUAAGCAGGGCUGCACCCGGUCAGUACCUGGAUGGGGGACCACAUGGGAAAGCCAUGUUGCUGCUGGAA